rnacentral:rRNA from 1 species
AGUGAACGCUGGCGGUAGGCCUAACACAUGCAAGUCGAACGGCAGCACAGUAAGAGCUUGCUCUUACGGGUGGCGAGUGGCGGACGGGUGAGGAAUACAUCGGAAUCUACUUUUUCGUGGGGGAUAACGUAGGGAAACUUACGCUAAUACCGCAUACGACCUACGGGUGAAAGCAGGGGAUCUUCGGACCUUGCGCGAUUGAAUGAGCCGAUGUCGGAUUAGCUAGUUGGCGGGGUAAAGGCCCACCAAGGCGACGAUCCGUAGCGGGUCUGAGAGGAUGAGCAGGCACACUGGAAGUGAGACACGGGCCAGACUCCUACGGGAGGCAGCAGUGGGGAAUAUUGGACAAUGGGCGAAAGCCUGAUCCAGCCAUGCCGCGUGUGUGAAGAAGGUCUUCGGAUUGUAAAGCACUUUAAGGGGGGAGGAAGGGCAGUAAGUUAAUACCUUGCGGUUUUGACGGUACCAACAGAAUAAGCACCGGCUAACGUCGUG